CCUACGGGUGGCAGCAGUGAGGAAUAUUGGUCAAUGGUCGGGAGCCUGAACCAGCCCAGUCGCGUGAGGGAAGAAGGUACUGAGUCUUGUAAACCUCUUUUGCCAGGGGACAAAGGCGGCCACGGGUGGCCGUAAGCGGGUACCUGGAGACAACGCAUCGGCUAACUCCGUGCCAGCAGCCGCGGUACGACGGAGGAUGCAAGCGUUAUCCGGAUUUAUUGGGUUUAAGGGGUGCGCAGGGGGCGUGUCCAGUCAGCGGUAAGAUGUCGGGGCACAAACGCGGCCGGCCGUUGAAACUGGCGAGCUCGAGUGGGAGAGAAGUAUGCGGAAUUCGUGGUGUAGCGGUGAAAUGCAUAGAUAUCACGAAGAACCCCGAUUGCGAAGGCAGCAUACCGGCUCCACACUGACGCGGAGGCACGAAAGCGUGGGUAUCGAACAGGAUUAGAUACCCGAGUAGUC
rnacentral:rRNA from 1 species